AAUCACACUCAGCCACACGCUCACACACGUCUGACAUUGAAAAGACAGGGAUUUUUCUUGUUUUGACGUAUUUUCUAACCUCUUAGAAUGUUAUUAGAAGUCGUAAUAAAAUAAUUUGAAUAUAAAGCUAUGUUUUAAAGUAAAUAAAGACCAUUUAACGAUGUUAACAUGAUGAGACAUCGAUUUUAUGGAAUGGAGGAGAAGAUUUAACAGCUAGAAAUUAACAAAAAUCCUGCAAGAGCAUUGAGAUCUCGCUUUUGGCGAGUGGAAGUCCAAAGGCAAAGUGCAGCGGUUUGCAGUUCUUAGCCUCACUUUUUUGGACCUAACAAGACAGGAAAAGAAUAGUCAAAGAGGAAACCCGAGUAGCCAGAUGAUAAUAUAUGAAACCAUGAGCAGCCAGCCAUUGAAACUCUCAGCAAUUUGAAUAACAAUUUUGAUUG